rnacentral:rRNA from 1 species
CAAUAGCGUAUAUUAAAGUUGUUGCAGUUAAAAAGCUCGUAGUCGGAUUUUGGCAUCAUGCCGAACUGUCAGCCGAUUGGUUUGUACGGUUUGGCGGGUGCUCUCCUUCCGGAGGCUCGUUUCCUCUUUCAUUAGAGGGUUCGAUGGUUCCGGGUCUUUUACUUUGAAAAAUUAGAGUGUUCAAAGCAGGCCUAUGCUCUGAAUAGGUUAGCAUGGAAUAAUAAUCUAGGACUUCGGUUCUAUUUUGUUUGGUUUCUUAGUACUGAAGUAAUGAUUGAUAGGGAGUAGUUGGGGGUGGCUAGUAUUGUAGCGGCCACGAGGUGGAAAUUACUUGGAUUCGCUCAAGACUAACUUAUGCGAAAGCAUUCACCAAGG